GUGGAUUAGAUACCCUGGUAGUCCACGCCGUAAACGUUGUCAACUUGAUGUGGGGGGAUUUAGUCCCCUCCGUAUCGAAGCUAACGCGAUAAGUUGACCGCCUGGGGACUACGGCCGCAAGGCUAAAACUCAAAGGAAUUGACGGGGGCCCGCACAAGCGGUGGAGCAUGUGGCUUAAUUCGAGGCAACGCGAAGAACCUUACCUGGGCUUGAAAUAUACCGGACCGUCUAUGAAAGUAGAUUUCCCUUCGGGGCUGGUAUACAGGUGCUGCACGGCUGUCGCCAACU
rnacentral:rRNA from 1 species